rnacentral:rRNA from 1 species
ACUCAAAUGAAUUGACGGGGGCCCGCACAAGCGGUGGAGCAUGUGGUUUAAUUCGACGCAACGCGAAGAACCUUACCCAGGCUUGAACUGCAGGUGACAUUCUGCGAAAGCAGACUUCCGCAAGGACACCUGUAGAGGUGCUGCAUGGCUGUCGUCAGCUCGUGUCGUGAGAUGUUGGGUUAAGUCCCGCAACGAGCGCAACCCUUGUCUUCUGUUGCCAUCAGGUUAAGCUGGGCACUCUGAAGAGACUGCCGGUGACAAACCGGAGGAAGGUGGGGAUGACGUCAAGUCAGCAUGGCCUUUAUGUCUGGGGCCACACACGUGCUACAAUGGCCAGUACAAACCGUCGCGAGCCCGCGAGGGGGAGCUAAUCGGAUAAAGCUGGUCUCAGUUCGGAUUGUAGGCUGCAACUCGCCUGCAUGAAGUUGGAAUCGCUAGUAAUCGCGGAUCAGCACGCCGCGGUGAAUACGUUCCCGGGCCUUGUACACACCGCCCGU